GCUUUCAACAUCCCCGUCUCAGAGGCGCGAUCGGCGGUCUCGGCAUCGCCGACUCCAAACGACCUCAUGAGACUGAAGGC
rnacentral:sRNA from 1 species